rnacentral:rRNA from 1 species
CCUACGGGAGGCAGCAGUGAGGAAUAUUGCACAAUGGGCGCAAGCCUGAUGCAGCGACGCCGCGUGGGUGAAGAAGGUUUUCGGAUCGUAAAACCCUUUUCUGUGUGACGAGAACGGACGGUAGCACAGGAAUAAGUCUCGGCUAACUACGUGCCAGCAGCCGCGGUAAU